rnacentral:tRNA from 1 species
AGGAUUUUAGUUUAUAAAAACAUUUGAUUUGCAUUCAAAAAUUAUUGAUUAAUUCAAUUUAUCUU